CUCGUAGGCGGCCAACUAAGUCAGACGUGAAAUCCCUCGGCUUAACCGGGGAACUGCGUCUGAUACUGGAUGGCUCGAGUUUGGGAGAGGGAUGCGGAAUUCCAGGUGUAGCGGCGAAAUGCGUAGAUAUCUGGAGGAACACCUGAGGCGAAGGCGGGCUACUGGGCCGAUACUGACGCUGAUGCGCGAAAGCCAGGGGAGCAAACG
rnacentral:rRNA from 1 species